CCUACGGGAGGCAGCAGUGGGGAAUAUUGCGCAAUGGGCGAAAGCCUGACGCAGCGACGCCGCGUGAGGGAUGAAGGUCUUCGGAUCGUAAACCUCUGUCAGCAGGGAAGAACGGUCACUGUGCUAAUCAGCAGUGAAUUGACGGUACCUGCAAAGGAAGCACCGGCUAACUCCGUGCCAGCAGCCGCGGUAAUACGGAGGGUGCGAGCGUUAAUCGGAAUUACUGGGCGUAAAGGGCUCGUAGGCGGUAUGUCAAGUCAAGGGUGAAAUCCCCGCGCGCAACGUUGGAACUGCCUUUGAAACUGGCAGACUGGAGUGUGUGAGAGGAUAGUGGAAUUCCAGGUGUAGGAGUGAAAUCCGUAGAUAUCUGGAGGAACAUCAGUGGCGAAGGCGACUAUCUGGCACAUAACUGACGCUGAGGAGCGAAAGCGUGGGUAGCAAACAGGAUUAGAUACCCUAGUAGUC
rnacentral:rRNA from 1 species